CUCGAGAUGAGAUGUCCCAGGAUUGUGACCCGUUUUGCUGACUGAAAGUAGUGUUGGGCUCUCAUUAAAUCUCCUUGUUUUUGCUUUCUUAACAGAGAUUGGUGCUGAGCCAAAUGCCAAAAUCUAUGUCAAAGUGGUCCAGCAGGUCCAUACUGAGAGAGCUUCUCAACAGGCAGCAGCUCAAGCUCCUCUGCAGGCUGGAGGUCUCCCUAGAAGAGCAGGUCCCAGCACAGGGGGAAGACCUUCCCCUGCCGUGUGCCCCCGCUCUGUCUCCAACACCCAGGCUGGAUGUAAACGCAAGGCCUUGGAGGAAGGGAAACCAACAGCAGUGCAGCUGCCUUCCAAUAAGAGAGUGAGGGGGCCGAGUGGAGACAGCGUGCCGGCUCCAGCAGCACACCCUGGGCCUGCUGCAGCGCGGAGCUCCAAGCAAAGAG
rnacentral:lncRNA from 1 species